rnacentral:rRNA from 1 species
GACGAACGCUGGCGGCGUGCCUAAUACAUGCAAGUAGAACGCUGAAGAGAGGAGCUUACUCUUCUUGGAUGAGUUGCGAACGGGUGAGUAACGCGUAGGUAACCUGCCUUGUAGCGGGGGAUAACUAUUGGAAACGAUAGCUAAUACCGCAUAACAAUGGAUGACACAUGUCAUUUAUUUGAAAGGGGCAAUUGCUCCACUACAAGAUGGACCUGCGUUGUAUUAGCUAGUAGGUGAGGCAAUGGCUCACCUAGGCGACGAUACAUAGCCGACCUGAGAGGGUGAUCGGCCACACUGGGACUGAGACACGGCCCAGACUCCUACGGGAGGCAGCAGUAGGGAAUCUUCGGCAAUGGGGGCAACCCUGACCGAGCAACGCCGCGUGAGUGAAGAAGGUUUUCGGAUCGUAAAGCUCUGUUGUAAGUCAAGAACGGGUGUGAGAGUGGAAAGUUCACACUGUGACGGUAGCUUACCAGAAAGGGACGGCUAACUACGUG